rnacentral:piRNA from 1 species
UUUUGGAAAGAUACAGAAGGCUCAGCA